rnacentral:rRNA from 1 species
CCCUUAGAUGUUCUGGGCCGCACGCGCGCUACUCUGUUCGACGCAGCGAGUCUUAACCUUGACCGAAAGGUUUGGGUAAUCUUCAGCAAAGUCGAACGUGAUGGGGAUCGAUCAUUGCAAUUAUUGAUCGUGAACGAGGAAUUCCUAGUAAGUGCAAGUCAUCGGCUUGCGCUGAUUACGUCCCUGCCCUUUGUACACACCGCCCGUCGCUACUACCGAUUGAAUGGUUUAGUGAGAUCUCUGGAUUGACGCUGGCUAGGGGGCGACCCUUGGCCAGGCUGUCGAGAAACUGCUCAAACUUGAUCAUUUAGAGGAAGUAAAAGUCGUAACA